rnacentral:rRNA from 1 species
GACGAACGCUGGCGGCGUGCUUAACACAUGCAAGUCGAACGGCAAGGCCCUGCUUUUGUGGGGUUCUCGAGUGGCGAACGGGUGAGUAACACGUGAGUAACCUGCCCUUGACUUUGGUAUAACUUCAGGUAACUGGGGCUAAUACCGGAUCGGAGCUCCUGCUGCAUGGUGGGUGUUGGAACGUUUCGGCGGUUGGGGAUGGACGCGCGGCUUAUCAGCUUGUUGGUUGGGUAGUGGCUUACCAAGGCUUUGACGGGUAGCCGGCCUGAGAGGGUGACCGGCCACAUUGGGACUGAGAUACGGCCCAGACUCCUACGGGAGGCAGCAGGGGGGAAUAUUGCACAAUGGGCGGAAGCCUGAUGCAGCAACGCCGCGUGCGGGAUGACGGCCUGCGGGUUGUAAACCGCUUUCGCCUGUGACGAAGCGGGAGUGACGGUAAUGGGUAAAGAAGCACCGGCUAACUACGUG